rnacentral:rRNA from 1 species
GAUGAACGCUAGCGACAGGCUUAACACAUGCAAGUCGAGGGGCAGCAUGAAUUUACUUCGGCAAAUUUGAUGGCGACCGGCGCACGGGUGCGUAACGCGUAUGCAACCUACCCAUAAGUCGGGGAUAGCCCAUGGAAACGUGGAUUAAUACCCGAUGGUCUAUUGAAACUGCAUGGUUUCAAUAGUAAAGAAUUUCGGUUAUGGAUGGGCAUGCGUUCCAUUAGGUAGUAGGUGAGGUAACGGCUCACCUAGCCCAUGAUGGAUAGGGGUUCUGAGAGGAAGGUCCCCCACAUUGGAACUGAGACACGGUCCAAACUCCUACGGGAGGCAGCAGUGAGGAAUAUUGGUCAAUGGUCGAGAGACUGAACCAGCCAAGUCGCGUGAGGGAUGACUGCCCUAUGGGUUGUAAACCUCUUUUGUUUGGGAAGAAUAAGCUUUACGUGUAUAGCGAUGCCGGUACCAAGCGAAUAAGCAUCGGCUAACUCCGUGCCAGCCGCCGCAGUAAGAC